UGUACUGAAUCGUCGGCGACAAAAAUACAGGGACUUGGAGCCAGCGACUCUGGCAGCUGUGCACACCCUCUGGCACCAGGCAGACUUUUUUGGGCCCUUCCGUAAGUAGGAAUUGCAGGCUUCAUCUACUGCUCCACAUUUGUCCGAUUCCAUUCCUGAGGCGGCUGGGCUGCGCUGCGGCCGCCUUCCUGCUGGGGACCUUGUUCUCCCUGGUCUGCCGGAGUCCGCGAGCUCCGCCGCCCGACUUCGCCGCCGCCUGGAGACGGCUGGCCGCGGCCGCCCGCCGGAGCUAUUUAAGAAUUUUUAGAACAGCUGUCUUCAAGUCUUUGUCCAUGAAGUCUGAUGUUGAGUUUCCUAAGAGUUUCCCAAAUAAGGAAGUGCUUCAGAAAUCAUUACUUCACGUUUUGAUACAGCUUUGACACUCAUUUCUAGGCUCUGUCCAAGAUGAACACAGUAAUACUUUCCCGUGGCUCAUAUUAAAGUUACACAGAGGCGUGGCGUCACAAGACUUUGCUCCCCUCCCAAGAACAGCAACUAACAACUCUUCAUGGACAAGACGCCACCGUGAAACCCUAGAACGGGGUGCAGCUGUACCACAGACACACCAUAAGAAGGAACUGGCUUACACAAUUGCUGGGACUGGCUAAGCUACUCCGAAAUCCAAAGGGCAAGUGGUCAGAAAGGGAAGAUCAAAAGCCAAGGUCUAAGAUGCUGUCCACAGCUGGAAUUUAUUUUCCUCACCUCAGGAGGUGAAGUUCAACAGGAGCGGGUGCCAGGAACUGUGAAAUAUGGGCAACGUUUACGCACACCACGUCCAGGUUCAGCAGAGAAAACUUCCUCCACUGUCGCUUUGGGAAAGAAGAUCUUAAAGAUCACAAAGGAAGCCGUAAGAAUUUUUUAUAGAGAGAUAAGACUGCUUAUAUAGAAAAUCAUAGAAGAUUGAGAAAUACCUCUUUGAGCUAAUAUGUGAACUUAGCAAGGGUAUAGGAUAUAGAAUCAAUAUAAAAAAGUGAAUUGUAAUUCUAUUUAAUAUCAAUAAAAUUGUAAAUGAAAUUAAAGCCAUCUAUAAUAUUAUAGCACCAAUAGCGUAAAAUAUUUAAUGAUACCUUUAACAAAAUAUGUGCAAGAUC